rnacentral:rRNA from 1 species
UACGAAGGGGCUAGCGUUGCUCGGAUUGACUGGGCGUAAAGGGCGCGUAGGCGGUUCGUACAGUCAGACGUGAAAUUCCUGGGCUCAACCUGGGGCUGCGUUUGAUACGUGCGGACUUGAGUGCGGAAGAGGGUCGUGGAAUUCCCGGUGUAGCGGUGAAAUGCGUAGAUAUCCGGAGGAACACCGGUGGCGAAGGCGGCUUCCUGGACCGACACUGACGCUGAGGCGCGAAAGCUAGGGGAGCAAACGGG